UGGGGAAUAUUGCACAAUGGGCGGAAGCCUGAUGCAGCAACGCCGCGUGCGGGAUGACGGCCUUCGGGUUGUAAACCGCUUUCGCCUGUGACGAAGCGUGAGUGACGGUAAUGGGUAAAGAAGCACCGGCUAACUACGUGCCAGCAGCCGCGGUGAUACGUAGGGUGCGAGCGUUGUCCGGAUUUAUUGGGCGUAAAGGGCUCGUAGGUGGUUGAUCGCGUCGGAAGUGUAAUCUUGGGGCUUAACCCUGAGCGUGCUUUCGAUACGGGUUGACUUGAGGAAGGUAGGGGAGAAUGGAAUUCCUGGUGGAGCGGUGGAAUGCGCAGAUAUCAGGAGGAACACCAGUGGCGAAGGCGGUUCUCUGGGCCUUUCCUGACGCUGAGGAGCGAAAGCGUGGGGAGCGAACAGGCUUAGAUACCCUGGUAGUCCACGCUGUAAACGGUGGGUACUAGGUGUGGGGUCCAUUCCACGGGUUCCGCGCCGUAGCUAACGCUUUAAGUACCCCGCCUGGGGAGUACGGCCGCAAGGCUAAAACUCAAAGGAA
rnacentral:rRNA from 1 species